rnacentral:rRNA from 1 species
GGGGAAUAUUGGACAAUGGGCGAAAGCCUGAUCCAGCAAUGCCGCGUGGGUGAAGAAGGUCUUCGGAUUGUAAAGCCCUUUCGGCGGGGACGAUGAUGACGGUACCCGCAGAAGAAGCCCCGGCUAACUUCGUGCCGGCAGCCGCGGUAAUACGAAGGGGGCUAGCGUUGCUCGGAAUGACUGGGCGUAAAGGGCGCGUAGGCGGUUUGUACAGUCAGAUGCGAAAUUCCUGGGCUUAACCUGGGGGCUGCACUUGAUACGUAUGGACUAGAGUGGGGAAGAGGGUCGUGGAAUUCCCAGUGUAGAGGUGAAAUUCGUAGAUAUUGGGAAGAACACCGGUGGCGAAGGCGGCGACCUGGUCCUUUACUGACGCUGAGGCGCGAAAGCGUGGGGAGCAAACA